rnacentral:rRNA from 2 species
UAACGGCGAGUGAAGCGGCAAAAGCUCAAAUUUGAAAUCUGGCUCCUCUCGGGGUCCGAGUUGUAAUUUGAAGAGGAUGCUUUGGGUGCGUCCGCGGCGUAAGUCCCUUGGAACAGGGCGUCAUAGAGGGUGAGAAUCCCGUCUUGAGUCGCCGGCGCGCGCCCGUUUAAAGCUCCUUCGACGAGUCGAGUUGUUUGGGAAUGCAGCUCUAAGUGGGUGGUAAAUUUCAUCUAAAGCUAAAUAUUGGCCGGAGACCGAUAGCGAACAAGUAGAGUGAUCGAAAGGUUAAAAGCACCUUGAAAAGGGAGUUAAAUAGCACGUGAAAUUGUUGAAAGGGAAGCGCUUGCAGCCAGACUCGGGUUCGGAGGCUCAGCGGGUAUUGUUAUGCCCGUGCACUCCUCCGCACCCGGGCCAGCAUCAGUUUUGGCGGCCGGUCAAAGGCCCCCGGAAUGUGUCGUCCUCCGGGACGUCUUAUAGCCGGGGGUGCAAUGCGGCCAGCCGGGACUGAGGAACGCGCUUCGGCACGGAUGCUGGCGUAAUGGCUGUAAGCGGC